AUUUAUGGACCUUCUGCCCCCCGAAAUCAAAGCUUGUUGCAAGAUUUAAGCAGUUGAAUAUGUCCAAGAACAAAGAAAACUCGGCUUCAAAUACAUUUUCCUGGAUCGAGUUAGCCAAAAUUUCAUCUCUCAUAAGGUUAAUUGCAUCUUUUCCAACGACUUCAAAUCUAGAAGCAUAAGUAGGUAACAGAUCCAUAGCUCAAAGAGAAACCCAGAACAAUUAAUGAAAUAAAGACAGCCCACAUUCUUCAAAUUGAAGAAAUCCAGAGAGUUCAAAUCAAAGAAACGCAGUAAAACCAUGGCAGGAAUGUGAAACAGGCCGAUUCCAUAGCGGAUUGCAAUCGAACAAAAAAUCCAAGAGUGACCCAUUUCGGAAUGAACCCAUAAACAGUCAAAACUCAGCUAAAAAAUAUCAAAUAGGAAAACCCAGAUCAUGGAAUCAUUAGCAAGUGGUACGAAAAUGGGGAAGAUCUAGAAAUAUGAAUGCGGAUAAGGGGUGGAUGAUUGAUUAAGAGUAGAAAGUACCUGUAAGAGACAAAA